GCUGCGGCUGGCAAUGGCGCCUUCCCGCCUUGUCCCACAGCUUCGCUUCAGCAAAGAUCAUCGGAAAACGCCAUCCCAUACUCCCAAUUCCCUGGCAGACAGGGCAAAGAAUGGCUAUGGCUGACUUUGCUGGAAAGGGCACCUUCAUCAGAAAGCAUCACAUGUGAAACAGAGGUUGUUUAUAAGUUCAUGACCAAAAUUAAGGUGGCUGUGAGAAAAAUACUUCAGUUGUAAAUGGAGAAAAUGUGAUAUGAAAUUCAUCAAGAGGUGGCGUUAA
rnacentral:lncRNA from 1 species